GAGCCACCUCGCACCACUUUUGCACAUUUCAUCGUGCGUGCGUCACACUGACCGUGGCUCCGCUAUAUUUAGUGGCCUCUUCUCCAUCGUCUUCCUUACGCUUUGCCGUCCUCUUCUUCCUCCAUAGCUCUCUAAACCCAUCUGGUGCCAUCCACUUACCCAUUGCCCAUCACAACGCUCUCCAAAAGACCCACAUGAAAUAAAUCUCCCAUGGUUCCAGGAAAAGCUCCAGGUCAUUUGAUGUGUUUAUGUUUCUUCUUGUACUUUCAUCGAGCUUGUUCUUGGCAAGCUUCUUUCUCUCCUUUUCAUUUUGACGGGAGUGAUGGACGGAAGAGAGCGUCCUUCAGUCCACUCACAGGCGGUGCUAGGAUCGAAUUAGCUGCCGACUCAUUCGUCCACUUGCCGAGCAAAGUUAUUUGCCGAGGAGCUUAGCAGGUGAGUGAAUGAAGCGGGAGGUAAAGUCUUUGAUCUCGCACCGUCGUUGCUUGGACUGAAGGGUGCUCCCUCCUCCUCUCUAAGCCAUGUUAUGUAGCACGGCACCUGCUUGAUCUGCUCGUUUCUUCGGGCGCCAUACCGCCUGAUCGAUCUGAUCUGUUCUUUUCGAGCUUCUCCGGCAUGAAAUGAUAGAACCUGUGUCGCUCUGGUGUGCUUGCAGUUCUAGUUUGGCUCUUCUUUAAUUUAGUCCGGUAAUGGAUGUCGAGGCUCAAUUUUUCUACUUGUUUAACCAGGCCUUUGUACUAAAAAUCCUUGAUCUGCUCACAGAAGCCUUGUUUUUCUGAAAGCGCAUCUGCUUUGGGUACCUGCGAUGACAUCCUAGAUGCAUGGCUGGGACAAAACGAAAUUGCUCCAUGGACGACAUGUGCUGGCCGACCUGCGGACGAUCAAACAAUCCAGCGGCCCUUGCAAAGUCAAUCAUACGCAUGUGUGGCUGAUUUAACCUGUCGUCUUAGAAUCGUCUGAAAAAAUCGUGUGUAUAGCAAGAGUCGGGACAAAAUACGGUGCUUUGCUUGCUUUUGCUGGUGUGGGGGAUCGAUCGAUCACAUCGCGCGUCUUUGGGGUCGUGCAAACAGUGAGACGUCUUUCGAUCUCCCUGUUUGCUUUGGAACUUGGCACGCAACCAGGAUGAUUGGACUGGACGUGUGCGUGGCCCUGGUGCUAUGCUAUGCUAGGCUAGCUUUCGGAGCAUGGUCACCACAUGGAUUCGGUCGAGUUCCCCAAACGUUUUUAUCAUCUCCCCGAGGGCUCUUAGGGGCCUAAGUACCCUAUUAAUCUUAGAUUUGUGGUGUACAGUGGAGUAGUUUAUAACCCACUUAUGUUUUUGCAUCUGGAUAUUCUCCCCCCUCGCAUGGAAAUAUGUGAGCAUGCAUGUCGGCUUGUGAUGUGAUUUUAUCAAGUCAGGAUAUGAACAACGUUGUACUCUUUGUAAGCAUGUUGUCAUUAUUUUCACCGAAAUAGUUAUGAAAAAAAUCCUAAUUAGUAUGAUUUCUGGAGAUGCAUCCGGUAGAGUGCUUGUUUACUAGACCUCUCAUUAUUUUACAGAAGUCCUAACAAUAUUAGGUCUUGUUUUGUGCUGCUAGCUAGCUGUUGGUAGAAUUAUUUUACAGUAGUAUGCAUGGUCUGUGUUGGCUUCAUGAGUACAAUUGUUCAUGAUGACUUGAUUGGUGCAAUAAUCUGUCAUACCUAUAUAUAUGUAUUAGUACACA